rnacentral:sRNA from 1 species
UAAGCACAAUUAAAAAAUUAUAGGCAGA